CUUUUUUCUUGUUCUGUGGUGGUAUGACUCUUACGCUGACGUCACACACGCAGGUGCAGCAGCCUUGUUGCUUUUUACGGAACUUGGUUCCUAGGUGGCACUGGAUCAUAUCUACAUCCCUGCAAAUCAAUACAGCGUUUAUAUGCCGAUAUCUCACUGGAUACCGUUACGCCCAGUUCUAGCUACUCAUGCACUUAUUGAUCGGUAGCUUGGAGCUCAGAUGGAAUAGAGGGGAUAUAGCUAGACUCCGGGUCACGGAAGGAGUUGGGCUCUUCUAGCGUUGCAAGCAUAAAGUUCGGGGUUACUGUUUCAUAGUAUUCUUCAUUGCGGGUAACUGUAGUUGGCUCUUGACGUUUGAGAAACACAUUUAAAUAGUGAAUGACAAAAUGUGGUUCAGCAGUGAGACCCCGAAGUUACCCCAGCGUUCUCUUAGGAAGCGGUUUUUAGCCGUUAGGAAGUUCCACGCAUGUAUGACCGAUAACUGAGCUACGGGUCAUCUGGAUUUCGUCAAACAGAACAAUGUAUGUUGUUACACAGUUAAUAGUAGCCCGAAGCUGUUUAAUAUAAAUGUAUGGCUUAGUUAUUGAGGUCGCAAGAGCCACGAAAAUUUUUGAAUGCCCGCCCGUUCGACAUAUGGAUAUUGAUUUGCUGAGAUUGGUGGUGGGAGUCAUCUUGGCCGUCACGAUUUUCAUUUAUCGUAAUUUCAGAAUACUCCUUUGCAAUUCGAGAAAUUAAAUAGCGAACUCUUUAUUUAUAGUCAGUGACAAAGUGAACAUUAUACACAUAACAUUAAAACCCACAACUCAGUUUUUAUAUUACUAAAAUUCAUUCAGAAACUUCAUGUAAUAUGGCUAAAAGACGUGUGAUGGUGAAAUUAAGUAUAGAUCGUUUCAAACUUUCUCUCGUGUUGAGAAAUAUUCUUGUUUAUUUCAUAAAAUGUUAACAAAUGCUGUUCACUUUUUUCCGCCGAGUCAUACCAGAAAUUGCUGAAUGUUAAAGUUUUUGCAAGACAUAAAACUUUAAAACAAUAUUUUCAAACAUACUAUUUCAAAAAUACAUAAUUUGAAACAUCCCAUUUCUACCUUGCACUACAGCUGUAUGAAGUAAAUGGAGUCUUACGACUUUUCCACUAUGCGUCAGAGCAUAGAAUUUGAGAAGCAGGUGGACUUCUGGUUGGGAAUUUGGAGAUAAGGUGAUAGAGCUAUUUGGUCUGGAGAAUGUAUCGGUUGAUACAAAUUGUCAAAAGCACGAUGGAGCCCCUCCGCACUGUGGCAUUGGUGUCUGUGAGUUGUCGGAGGAAUGACUGCCAAUGAAGUGGAUCGGUCGCCGUGGUCCUGUGGAGUGGCUGCCCAGAUCCCCUGCCUUAACGCCCCUCGAUUUUUAUCUAUGGGGACAUCUUAAUUAGAUAGUGUAUGCUGAGAACAUCCCUGAUUUGAGACACCUGGAGGAACGCAUACAACACGCCUGUGACCAAAUUGCGGCGACUACAGUUGUGCAUUGCACGAGAUGGACAACACGUAGAACAUGUGUUGUAGCAGUCGGUAUGAAGAUGUCCACAAUUUUCUCUGUACGACUCGUUAAGCACCACUGAAGCUGCAGUGUGUGAAGUCGGUAAGGAGGUCAGGGUACGGAGAUCCCUGCACGGCGUCUCGUCCUCUCGUGACGGCAUGCGGCAUUCGGCUACCGGAAGGUCCGUGCCGAAGCCUCCGGACAGUUCCGCGACGCUCAUGGCGGAGGUUCCAGCCGAGCCGGUUAUUCGAGGCGGCACACUGCUACGCGCACCGAGCCUGACUGCACACUUGUGGCCAUUGUGGGAAAUGUUUCACCCGCUCUUACGACUCGAAAGAGCACGAAAGGUCGCACGGGAGGAAGAGCUACAGCUGCGACGUGCGGAUCGGCCCUACCGCCGUGACGCGGCAGUCCGGCUGCACGACUACCUGCGAAAACGCGUCCGCGUACACACGGAGGAGCGGCUGCCCACCUGCCGCAUUCACAGUAAGUUAUUGGGACAGGUGCACCUGUGUGUGCGAGCGUGCCUGCACACCGGCGAGUCGGCGCGGUCGGGAGAUCUGCGGCGAGCUGUUCGUCUGUCACACGUGCCGGAAGUUGCACAGGUGUGUGUGUAGCGGACUCCGGCAGAGGCACCGGAAGGUACGAAGUUGGCGAGCUGUUACUGUUAUGUUUUACCACUUGUACAUACCUGCAGAAAAUCAUAUUGUAUCAGCCUCAGCUAUUUUUUUCAGAACACCUACGUGUCUGUAAUUAAAAGGAAUUACACGCACGACUUCUGUAUAUUUCUUAAGCAUUUGCACAUUGCUACGAGAUGUUUCUAUUUGCAUAUAUUUUGCACUGUAUGGUAUGUACCUAUUAACAGAAACUCUGCAAUUGCAAAUCUUCUUCCAUCUCAAUCUUUUUUCAUAACCUGUUCUGAUAGCAAUAAUAAAGAUUUUAUUUUAUAGUAGCUGAUAUUGGUACAAUAUGCAUUUCAGUUUCUGUUUACUCUGUCUCGUGUAAAGAAGCUUGUAGUCGAGUAGCGGGAGCAUUCUGUUAAGUAUUAACAAAGAGGAUACCAUUUGAAAAAGUUGCGAGACUGUCAAUUGUUAUCGAGUGGGACUUAUUGCCGAUUACUCGUUUUGCAACGUGCACCGAAGAGAUCGAUCGAAGUUUCGUGUCGAUUCUCCGUUUCUCGAAAUAAAACUGUAGUAAGUAAUAGGUUGAUAAUUUUGGACGUACAACUCGGUUAGAUUUGGCAAUUGUCAUUUUUGUGGAUGUCAGACGGUGGUGCGGAGGACGUGAUCGUGAAACAAAGUAUAAAACUGUACUUGCCUCCGUUGGCAACUAGAGGGUUUUAUUUCGAGAAACUUAAGUUUUUCUAUUUUAGUGUCAGCUGUAUAUAUAGCUUAUUGAGUAAUGCAUGUUACGUGGUGGUUACUAAUAAGCCAAGCUGCUUAAACAGUAAUCUGAAACAGAAGUUUUGUCAGCUGUCCUCGGGAGGAGCAUUGUAGUUGCACAGUUGCACAGGGCGUAUACACUGCAGCUGGUGUAUGGGUUGUACUGAGAUUUGAUGCCUGUGCCUCCAGGAUCCAAUGCAGUGUUUUACACAGCGCACCUCAUUCCUGGGAGUCUUGGAGGAAGGAAGACACCAAAUUAUAAUAUGUACUCUGGGCCACAGUUCAAAAGGGAGAAGGAAAUGUGAAGGGAAAGCUUAAAAUUGUGUGAAACCGGCGAUGCUGCCGUGUCGAUACGUGGCCGGUUUGUCCUCUUGUAAGCUGGGUUUGGGGUGUACGAGUGCUUACGGCACCUCAUUACCGAAUGUCUCGUAUACACAGUUUGAAUGCGAACCGUAUUGUCCUCGUCAGAGCCUGGUAUAUUUCAUUUGAUGUUCCUUAAAAGUUGCACUCAGUUUUAUACUGUAGCAGACGUGCACUGUGGAGGGUGAAGGGAAUGUCAGCUCUGGAUUAUACUGACUGAUACUUCGCACCCAUACAUACUUCAUAUGUGUGAGAUGUUGACUUCGAAUAUCCUCCGUCGUGGUCACGAGUACUAAUGCAAUGCCACCCGCUCGUGUCGGCACCUCGUGGGAUGUUUGUGAAAGUGGGGACUGCCGGGUGCUAGGUCCCCUGUCAGUUCUGACGUGCUGUUUUGGCCAGAGAAUGUGUACUGAGAGAUGAGAAUAUGGGGCUGAUAUUGCAACAGUGUUACGUUUGAUUACAUCUGCUGUUUUAGACAUGUCGACAUAUACAGAAUGACAGUAUGAGAAAUGAAAAAUUGUGAAUAAAUUAUUACCCUUAGUGAGUCAUAGUACGGCACACUACGUACAGUGUUUGUGGUGUUGCUCCUUAUUCCCCGUCUUAAACUUCUCCUUAUGCCGUGUUGACACCGUUUGUAGCUCUUAUUGUCAGUGCCAGCUGACCGAACGACUAAAAGCUACUUUUAGUUACGAGGUGUACUGUGGUCUGGGUACAUACUACACACACUUCUGUUUCCAUUUCUCUUUCUGUGCUGAGCAGCACAUAUUUGUGCCCACAGUAAGAGUGCCAUCUGCGUUCUACACUCCCAGUGUAUCCUCUGUUCAGAGUCUCGAUGCCGAGACUGAAAUAACGACGUGUUAACACUCUCAGUGUAACAGAACUAAUGACUGCACAUAAGUAUGGAUUGCUUGAAGGUUGAAAUAAUGUAUGACGGUUGUAACAACUUGUUCCCAGUGUAAAAGUUUGAAAGAAUAAGAUGUGACAACUGGGGAAUACACCACUCUCUGCUGAGGGCGUACAGAGUUGUCGGCAGCGAGUGUUCUAAUGUGUGAAGAACUGCACCAGUCAAAACUAUGAAUAAGCCGUAAACAUACAGGGUGCUACAAAAAGGUACGACCAAACUUUCAGGAAACAUUCCUCACACACAAAGAAAGAAAAUAUGUUAUUUGGACAUGUGUCCAGAAGCGCUUACUUUCCAUGUUAGAGCUCAUUUUAUUACUUCUCUUCAAAUCACAUUAAUCGUGGAAUGGAAACACACAGCAACAGAACGUACUAGCGUGACUUCAAACACUUUGUUACAGGAAAUGUUCAAAAUGUCCUCCGUUGCGAGGAUACUUGUAUCGCACGGAAUCCCUGAUGCGCUGUUGCAGCCCUGGAGAAUGGCGUACUGUAUGACAGCCAUCCUCAAUACAAGCACAAAGAGUCUCUACAUUUGGUACCGGGCUUGCGUAGACGAGAGCUUUCAAAUGCCCCCAUAAAUGAAAGUCAACAGGGUUGAGGUCAGGAUAACGUGGAGGCCACGGAAUUGGUCCGCCUCUACCAAUCUGUCGGGCACCAAAUCUGUUGUCGAGAAGUGUAUGAACACUUAGACUGAAAUUUGCAGGAGCUCCAUCGUGGAUGAAGCGCAUGUGUCGUACUUGUAAAGGCACAUGUUCUAGCAGCACAGGUAGAGUAUCCCAUAUGAAAUCAUGAUAACGUGCUCCACUGAGCGUAGGUGGAAGAACAUGGGGCCCAGUCGAGACUUCACGGACAAUACUUGCCCAAACGUUCACAGAAAAUGUGUGUGGAUGACGUGAUUGCUCAAUUGGGUGCGGAUUCUCGUCAGCCCACACAUGUCGAUUGUGAAAAUUUUCAAUUUGAUCACGUCGGAAUGAAGCCUCACCCGUAAAGAGAACAUUUGCACUGAAAUGAGGAUUGACACAUUGUCGGAUGAACCGAUCGCAGAAGUGUACCCAUGGAGGCCAAUCAGCUGCUGAUAGUGCCUGCACACGCUGUACACAGUACGGAAACAACUGGUUCUCCCGUAGCACUCUCCAUACAGUGACGUGGUCAACGUUACCUUGUACAGCAGCAACUUCUCUGACGCUGACAUUAGGGUUAUCGUCAACUGCACGAAGAAUUGCCUCGUCCAUUGCAGGUGUCCUCGUCGUUCUAGGUCUUCCCCAGUCGCGAGUCAUAGGCUGGAAUGUUCCGUGCUCCCUAAGACGCCGAUCAAUUGCUUCGAAUGUCUUCCUGUUGGGACACCUUCGUUCUGGAUGAAAGCGAAAAAGAUAAGAAGUCAGUACAUAAAUAACACUAAAAAGUUACAACUCAAAAAUUACCUUAAAAUAAAUUCAUUCACGAAGACACUGACUUGCUAUCUCGUAUAGGGUAUAAAUAACGUUCCACAGGUUUAUUAGCUUUUACUCCUGGGUUUUGUGACUUUAUUUCUUGUAGUAAUAGCUGUUUUUUUCAUAUUCUCAAGAUGCGUUAACUGUUUCAGUGAAAGAAUGUAGUGCAACUUGUGACUGAACUGUUACACCUGCACAUUUUUGUAGUGCUCUGGACCUUCAGUGGUAACUGUGUUAGUCACCGAACUGGGUAGCCCAGUGCAUGAGAUCUUGCCCGAGAUGCUUAAUGUUGUGGGUUCGAAUCCUGUCGACUUCUCGAAUUUUUCUUUUUAAAUUUGAUCGAAAUUGUCACUUUUGUUAUUUACUUGAUUAAUGAUUAGAAAUAAGUUUAGUUCUGUUGUGCUCAGUAAAUAAUUGUUGAAAUAAAAAAAGUAGAUUUAUUCCUUAGAAAUCUCAGAAGUUAUUGUCGUCGUGUCCUGACAUAGGUGGGAGAGGGCAAAAGGGGUUACUGGUCAGUCUGCACUCCCGAGUGGUACAGAGCAGAAGGCAGGAGGACAAUUCACAGUGAAGGCAUUUGAUUGUUUCUUCCAUCUGAGCCAACACUGGUACAGACAUUUACUAGAAUGCAGGUGGUGAGAUUCGGUAGGGAACUCGUUGUGGAGACUCGUGGACAAACAGGGUUUUGAAAUACUUGUUUAUUCCAGACAGGACUAAUACACUGGAGGCUAGUUCGAGUUAGAAAAAGCAUGAAUAGCGCUGAUACAACAGAAGGCAGUGCAGAAGUCCCAGGAAUGGAUGCUAACCACAGUUAGUAGCAAACACUAGCAGCAUCUGCAGGCAACAACUUAGUUGCAAAACAAGACAUAAUGAAUGUGACACUGUUCACCGAGGCACUCAGAGAGAGAGAGAGAGAGAGAGAGAGAGAGAGAGAGAGAGAGAGAGAGAGAGAGAGAGAGCAGACUUAACACCGAGCUGGACCGAGACUGGAGUUGACUGACACAGAUUCGGCACCCAAAUCGUCUGACUGACAACUCUGCCUGGGGGUUUUAAAGAGUCGCGUGGGGCACUGUUUUUGCCACUUAAAGCCACCCAGCCAAUCCCGUAGGUCUCUUGCAGGCCCCUGCCAAUCGUGGUUUAGUUAGGUCCCCUCUACUGCUCCUAAGGCAGGGAUGUUAAUGCAGUUACACUAAGUCCGUAUUUGGUAUCAACAUUGUUCAGCUGAAAGCUAAACGUAACUGCUCUGCCAAAUAAGGCUUACAACAUUAUUGUUAUACGUUAUUUAGCCGCACCCCUCGGGCUUCUCGGAGUAGGGACUGCUAGGUCAACAGUUUUUGACAUGUUCGCUCUCUUUGUAUCCUCUGUGGGUCUACUGAUGUUGCUAUUUGCAGGGCUGGUAUCGAGCUGGCUUUAUACACUAGUAUGUGCCUGUCGGUUACAAAGUUCUACGGUGACAACCUACUACAGUGUCUAGACGACGAAUGAAGUUACAUGUUAAUUCCUAGAAGAGCAACUAAUGCUCUCGGACCGUGUCUGGGGGGCGUCUGCAUUUUUGCAAGGCUCUCCCCUUACUGUUUACUUAAUGUAACAAUAUCCCUUGUAGUUUCGUCUGUCCUCAGCACCGUCAGUGCUUCUGCACCUAGGAACGCCUGUCCUCCUUUCUCACAGCCUCGAGAUAACACUACAGUAGCAAUAUAUUACAUUGUGCACUGUACUACAAAGCAAGAAGUUUGCAAAAAUGAGCUUACAAAGUGUCACAAAAGCUCUUCAACGUGUCGUUUGGUUAAAGCAAGCAAAAACGUAAUCUGUUGUGAAAGAGAGAACCAAAUUACAAGGAAAUGUAAGGGAUACCUUGUAUAGAUGUUUUACACUGGUGCAAAUGCGAUGCUUGUCGGAUGAAAACAAAAGGAGUAAGUGGAAGAAUUCAGAGGACCUCGCCAAUGCGUUGACCUUAAGAUCUCUAUUCCAAAAGCAUUUGCUUAUUUGUAAAAGCAAACAAUGCCUUUACUGAGCAGGGCAACACUUCAGAAAUGGAUGAAGCAAUUAUACAUUCUCGAAGAUAUCCCGUAUUUAUUGAAGAAAGUUGAAUGAUACUUUUGUGUGGCAGCAACAAGUUUAUUACGAUUUUCACAUAGGUACUAAUACUAGUUGCUAACUGAUAAAUACAGACGGGUGUCUUGUCGUGUGCUCACCUGCUUCCUGGUGGUGGCUCAGCGAGCACCCUACUGACUUCGAUCACGUCUCCACACUAAUUACGCAUACCGUCGGCCUAGCUCUGCGUGUUCACCACCUGGUGGAUGUGACCCCUUACGGAGGUGUGGGGGGCCACAGUGAGGUUUGCACACGAGUGCGUAACAGUCAGGGCAGAUGCGGUCACCUUACUCGUUGUGGCCAGCUUUGUGACUGCCCGCUGUUCACACACGGCCCUGAAGGCUGACAAAACCAUUGUGGUAGUGAUUUGUGUCACUGGCAUUUUAUCACUUUCGUUUGUAUUCAAUUGAUUGAUAAUGAGAAAUUAAACAGGUCUCGCGAGAGAAGUACACUGGCUUGAGCAGCUAAAACGAGUGCAAAUGCAUUUAAAGUAUGAAGCUGUGCCUGUUACACAGGGUGAGGCAUAAUAAGGAGCAAUUUUUAAAAGGCAGUUAAGUAAAAACACUUCGUUACUUUCUUAUUUCGUAAUAUUAAAAUAAGUCAAGUAUUUUCUGCAAUAGUAAAACAUUGGUUAUUUUUUAAAGAUAAUUCCGGUAAGAUAGCGUCCGUUUCGUCACACACGUUUGUUCACCUGCACCGUGAAGUGACUCGUCACAUGGCGCAGCAUUGCCAAUGGCAUUUGAGCGACUUCCUUUCGGAUCUGCCCUGUCAGGGCUUCAAUUAUCCACGGAGGAUUAUCUCGAUAAACUUUGCUUUUCAAGUAACCCCACAAAAAAAAGCCACGUGCUGUGAGGUCCGGCGAAUGAGAGGGCUGUGCGAUACCCCCAUUUGGGAGAUUGCACGAUUUGGAAACAAAAGAUUGACAAUAUUUCUGCAUACUCGAGCAAUUUGGGAGGUUGCUAUGUCCUGCCGGAAACCGUCUCGUUGUUAACCUCGUAGUGUGCAAGUCGUGGAGUAAAAAAAAAUAAUCCGACGUGUGUGCGUAUGAAGAUGUGGCACACCACACAGUAACUUUUGCAGUGUGCAGUGGUUAUUGGUGCAGUUCUCUAGGAUUAAUGUCACUCCAAAAUCGAAAGUUCUCCUUUUCACAUAACCUGAGAAAUGGAAUUGAGCUUCGUCACUAUCCACAAUCAGGUUACAAUAUCCUCGUCUAGUUUAAUAGUGUCCAAAAAUUCUAAGCGGAAUUGGCUUUGGCUCACAUAGAUUCUUUAAGGGUCUGAACCAUUUGGAUUUUGUAGGGUUGAAAGUGCAAAUUGUUUAAAAUCCCAUGUGUAGCGCUGUGUCGGCAAGCUGAGUGACGAGGGCUUCCCUCAGUGGUAACUGUGACAUGUUCGAUGUUUCCAGGUGUGUGCACAGUUUUUGGUCUCCCACAUUUCUUCUUUGUCAUUGACGCCGUCUCCUCAAAGUUCUCAAAUGUCAUUUAGAUUCGAUUUGCACCCACUAUUAAAUUUACACAAUGAUUUCUUUCCGUGUUUUGUGUGGGCUGACGAAAUAGUUGCUCUUGAAACAUUUAAGAAAUUGGCUGUCUUGGUUACUGAUGCUCCAGCUAAUUGGGUCCACACAAUCUGCCCUCUUUAUAACUCUUAUAGGUCUUUCUUUGCAUGUCAACCUCAGCCUCGGAAUGCAAAUAUGAAGUGUGCACUACACGUUAACAGCCCUGCAAUGAUGGUAGUCCGUUCUGAACAAGCUCGAAACAUGCCUUAACUGCAUUGUUGACUGUCAAACGUAACCAUCCCAGUACUACCACUAUUAACAUUAUUUUGCAUACCCCUGCGGCAACCCUAUAUUCGUGCCAGAAUAUUAACACAACUGAUUUUUAAACUAGUGAACACACAACUGAAGUCGGUUUGCAGCUGCCUUACCUCCACACCCGUGGUCACCAAUGCACACACGCACACGCACAUGCACACGCACACGCACACGAGAGCACCCUGUCAGCGGCUGCCAUGGUCAUUUCACUGGCUGCGAGCAUCAUCGGUUCCAUGUCCUCGGAUGCCAUUGCAUUAUCGGCAGGCACAGGUAACAAACUGGUGUGAAUAACUUAGCCCUUCAACGAUUUUAUGAUUGGUGAUACACAGUUGCAUUUAGAGGUUUGAUAAACUUGUUAAGAGAAUUCAGUGAAAGCAUUGUGAGACAUCAGCUAGUGGUUGCCACUGAUGGUAUAUUUUACUGCACACACACAUCUAAGGAAACUCAGUGGCAAGCAUUAUAGUCUUGAAAAACACACACACACACAACUGGUAAUUACAUAGAUCUUGUCUUGUGCUCACCUGCUUCCUGGUGGUGCUCUGACAGCAAACGGCUGACUUCGAUUAAGUCUUUAGGUACGUUAUGUGUUGCAUCCACCCAGCUCUGCACGUCCAUCACCUGGUGGGUGUGAGGCUUUAUGCAGGCGAUGGGGUCCUCACUUAGGUUUGGACACGUUUGCCUGAUAGUGAGGGCAGAUGUGAUCACUUUGCUCUCCACAGUUAGUUUUGUUACUGCCUGCUGUUCACACACAGUCCUGGGGGCUGACAAGCCAUUGUGGUAGCGAUAUUUUAUCAUUUUUUUUAUGUAUUUAGUUGAUUAAUAACAAGAGGUUGGAUUGCACUUAUGAGAGAAGUACACCAGCUUGAGCAGUUAAAACAGAGCGCAAAUGAAUUUACAAUACGGAAGUGUGCCUGUUGUACAGGCAACAUAUGCUAGAGAAAAAUUACUUUUAUUUAUAAAAAAUACACACAUUAUUUGAUCAAAAUGAAAAUGACAUAGAAGUUGGUGGUGCCCUGCAUCGGUAAUGCUGGAAUUCAAUACGGUGUUAGUCCACCCUUUGCCUUGAUCACAGAUUCCACUCUCGCAGGCAUAUGUCCCGUCAGAUGCUGUAAGGUUUCUUGGGGAAUGGCAGCCUAUUUAUCACGGAGUGUUGCAAUGCGGAGAGGUAUCGAUGUCAGUCGGUGAGGCCUGGCGUGUAGUCAGCGUUCCAAAAUAUCCCGAAGGUGUUUCACAGGACUCGGUAGGGACUCUGCAAGCCAGUCAGUUACAGAGAUGUUAUUGUGUGUAACCGCUCUGCCACAGGCUGUGCAUUACAAACAGCUGCUCGAUCAUGUUGAAAGGUGUGAUUGCCGUCCCCGAAUUGCUCUACAACUGUGGGAAGCGAGAAGGUGCAUCAGUGUAAGCCUGUGCUGUGAUAGUACCAUGCAAAACAAGGGAUGCAAGCCCCCUCCACGAAAAACAUGAUCACACCAUAACUCGAGAGCAGCCCCAAAUUUUACUGUUGGCACUACAAUUGCUGGCAGGCGAAGGGCAUUCGCCAUACCCACACCCUGCCAUCGGAUCGCCACAUUGUGUACCGUGAUUUGUCACUCCACACAAUGUUUUUCCACUGUUCAAUCAUCCCAUGUUUAUGCUCCUUACACCAACCGAGGAAGACUUUGGCAUUUACAGGUGUGAUGUGUGGCUUACGAGCAGCUGCUUGACCAUGUAAACCAAGUUUUCUCACCUCCCACCUAACUGUCACAGUAUGCGCAGUGGACCCUGAUGCUGUUUGGAAUUAACAGAACUGGAUUUUAAACUAGGGACACACAACAGAAGUCAGUUUGGCGCUGCCUUACCUCCACACCCAUGGUCACCAAUGCUGUUUCACACACAUACACACACACACACACACACACACACACACAAAACUAGUAAACACAUAUGAGCAUCUUGUCUAGUGCUCAUCUCCUUCCUGGUGGUGCUCAGUGAGUAAAUGACUCACUUUAAUAAUUUCUUUGGACUUGUUAUGUGUUACAUACACCCAGCUCUACAUGUCCGUCGCCUGGUGGCAGCUUCACAGUAGGAAUCAAGAAACCAGGAUUGUAGGUCUUCUUUUUGGCACUCUCCAGACGUAAGCCUGGCAUGAAGUUGGGAAUAAUGAAAACUUUGACUCUUCGGACUAUAAGACGUGUUUCCAUUGAUAAGCCGUUCAGGAUUUAUGCUCCUGACACCAUGUUUUACAGUUCUAUGCGUCAGUUUUCGUUACUAAUGGUUUCGGUAUAGCAGUUUGUCGACCAAUAUUGGCUUUGUGGAGUUGGCGAUGGAUGGUGUUGGUAGAUACUGGGUCUCAGAAGAUGGCUGUUGACCUUUGCAGUCAGUUUAGCUGCUGUAGCUUUGUGUUGUUUUGGCACAAUUCGUCUUAGCGUACCAAGAUCUCCGUCAUUUAGUAUCGAUUUGCACCCACUAUUCCAUUUACACAAGGAUUUCUUUCCGUGUUUUGUGUAGGCUGUCGAAACAGUUGCUCUUGAAAUGUUUAAAAAAUUGGCUGUCUUGGUUACUGAUGCUCCAGAUAAUUGGGCCCUGACUAUCUGCCCUCUUUGUAACUCUUUUAGGUCUUUCUUUGCAUGUCGACCUCAGGCUCUGAAUGCGAAUAUGAAGUGUGCACUACACGUUAACAGCCCUGCAAUGAUGGUAGUCCGUUCUGAACAAGCUCGAAACAUGCCUUAACUGCAUUGUUGACUGUCAAACGUAACCAUCCCAGUACUACCACUAUUAACAUUAUUUUGCAUACCCCUGCGGCAACCCUAUAUUCGUGCCAGAAUAUUAACACAACUGAUUUUUAAACUAGUGAACACACAACUGAAGUCAGUUUGCAGCUGCCUUACCUCCACACCCUUGG